GACGAACGCUGGCGGCGUGCUUAACACAUGCAAGUCGAACGGAAAGGCCCUGCUUUUGUGGGGUGCUCGAGUGGCGAACGGGUGAGUAACACGUGAGUAACCUGCCCUUGACUUUGGGAUAACUUCAGGAAACUGGGGCUAAUACCGGAUAGGAGCUCCUGCUGCAUGGUGGGGGGUGGAAAGUUUCGGCGGUUGGGGAUGGACUCGCGGCUUAUCAGCUUGUUGGUGGGGUAGUGGCUUACCAAGGCUUUGACGGGUAGCCGGCCUGAGAGGGUGAACGGCGACAUUGGGACUGAGAUACGGCCCAGACUCCUACGGGAGGCAGCAGUGGGGAAUAUGGCACAAUGGGCGGAAGCCUGAUGCAGCAACGCCGCGUGCGUGAUGACGGCCUUCGGGUUGUAAACCGCUUUCGCCUGUGACGAAGCGUGAGUGACGGUAAUGGGUAAAGAAGCACCGGCUAACUACGUG
rnacentral:rRNA from 1 species